rnacentral:rRNA from 1 species
CCUACGGGUGGCAGCAGUGAGGAAUAUUGGUCAAUGGACGAGAGUCUGAACCAGCCAAGUAGCGUGAAGGAUGACUGCCCUAUGGGUUGUAAACUUCUGUUAUAUGGGAAUAAAAUGUUCCACGUGUGGGAUUUUGUAUGUACCAUAUGAAUAAGGAUCGGCUAACUCCGUGCCAGCAGCCGCGGUAAUACGGAGGAUCCGAGCGUUAUCCGGCUUUAUUUGGUUUAAAGGGAGCGUAGGUGGCUUGUGAAGUCAGUUGUGAAAGUUUGCGGCUCAACCGUAAAAUUGCAGUUGAAACUGGCAGUCUUGCGUACCGUCGCGGUGGGCGGACUUCGUGGUGUCGCGGUGACCUGCUUAGCUCUCACGCAGAACUCCGCUUGC